GGGUUGUGAGGUUAAGCGACUAAGCGUACACGGUGGAUGCCCUGGCAGUCAGAGGCGAUGAAGGACGUGCUAAUCUGCGAAAAGCGUCGGUAAGGUGAUAUGAACCGUUACAGCCGGCGAUGUCCGAAUGGGGAAACCCAGUGCAAUUCGUUGCACUAUCGUUAACUGAAUACAUAGGUUAACGAGGCGAACCGGGGGAACUGAAACAUCUAAGUACCCCGAGGAAAAGAAAUCAACCGAGAUUCCCCCAGUAGCGGCGAGCGAACGGGGAGCAGCCCAGAGUCUGAAUCAGCUUGUGUGUUAGUGGAACGGUCUGGAAAGUCCGACGGUACAGGGUGAUAGUCCCGUACACCAAAAUGCACAGGCUGUGAACUCGAAGAGUAGGGCGGGACACGUGGUAUCCUGUCUGAAUAUGGGGGGACCAUCCUCCAAGGCUAAAUACUCCUGACUGACCGAUAGUGAACCAGUACCGUGAGGGAAAGGCGAAAAGAACCCCGGCGAGGGGAGUGAAAAAGAACCUGAAACCGUGUACGUACAAGCAGUGGGAGCACCUUCGGGUGUGACUGCGUACCUUUUGUAUAAUGGGUCAGCGACUUAUAUUCUGUAGCAAGGUUAACCGUAUAGGGGAGCCGCAGGGAAACCGAGUCUUAACUGGGCGUUAAGUUGCAGGGUAUAGACCCGAAACCCGGUGAUCUAGCCAUGGGCAGGUUGAAGGUUGGGUAACACUAACUGGAGGACCGAACCGACUAAUGUUGAAAAAUUAGCGGAUGACUUGUGGCUGGGGGUGAAAGGCCAAUCAAACCGGGAGAUAGCUGGUUCUCCCCGAAAGCUAUUUAGGUAGCGCCUCGUGAACUCAUCUUCGGGGGUAGAGCACUGUUUCGGCUAGGGGGUCAUCCCGACUUACCAACCCGAUGCAAACUACGAAUACCGAAGAAUGUUAUCACGGGAGACACACGGCGGGUGCUAACGUCCGUCGUGAAGAGGGAAACAACCCAGACCGCCAGCUAAGGUCCCAAAGUCAUGGUUAAGUGGGAAACGAUGUGGGAAGGCACAGACAGCCAGGAUGUUGGCUUAGAAGCAGCCAUCAUUUAAAGAAAGCGUAAUAGCUCACUGGUCGAGUCGGCCUGCGCGGAAGAUGUAACGGGGCUAAACCAUGCACCGAAGCUGCGGCAGCGACACUAUGUGUUGUUGGGUAGGGGAGCGUUCUGUAAGCCUGCGAAGGUGUGCUGUGAGGCAUGCUGGAGGUAUCAGAAGUGCGAAUGCUGACAUAAGUAACGAUAAAGCGGGUGAAAAGCCCGCUCGCCGGAAGACCAAGGGUUCCUGUCCAACGUUAAUCGGGGCAGGGUGAGUCGACCCCUAAGGCGAGGCCGAAAGGCGUAGUCGAUGGGAAACAGGUUAAUAUUCCUGUACUUGGUGUUACUGCGAAGGGGGGACGGAGAAGGCUAUGUUAGCCGGGCGACGGUUGUCCCGGUUUAAGCAUGUAGGCUGGUUGUCCAGGCAAAUCCGGAUAAUCAAGGCUGAGGUGUGAUGACGAGGCACUACGGUGCUGAAGUAACAAAUGCCCUGCUUCCAGGAAAAGCCUCUAAGCAUCAGGUAACAUUAAAUCGUACCCCAAACCGACACAGGUGGUCAGGUAGAGAAUACCAAGGCGCUUGAGAGAACUCGGGUGAAGGAACUAGGCAAAAUGGUGCCGUAACUUCGGGAGAAGGCACGCUGGUGUGUAGGUGAAGUCCCUGCGGAUGGAGCUGAGACCAGUCGAAGAUACCAGCUGGCUGCAACUGUUUAUUAAAAACACAGCACUGUGCAAACACGAAAGUGGACGUAUACGGUGUGACGCCUGCCCGGUGCCGGAAGGUUAAUUGAUGGGGUUAUCCGUAAGGAGAAGCUCUUGAUCGAAGCCCCGGUAAACGGCGGCCGUAACUAUAACGGUCCUAAGGUAGCGAAAUUCCUUGUCGGGUAAGUUCCGACCUGCACGAAUGGCGUAAUGAUGGCCAGGCUGUCUCCACCCGAGACUCAGUGAAAUUGAACUCGCUGUGAAGAUGCAGUGUACCCGCGGCAAGACGGAAAGACCCCGUGAACCUUUACUAUAGCUUGACACUGAACAUUGAGCCUUGAUGUGUAGGAUAGGUGGGAGGCUUUGAAGCGUGGACGCCAGUCUGCGUGGAGCCAACCUUGAAAUACCACCCUUUAAUGUUUGAUGUUCUAACGUUGGCCCCUUACGGGGUUGCGGACAGUGUCUGGUGGGUAGUUUGACUGGGGCGGUCUCCUCCCAAAGCGUAACGGAGGAGCACGAAGGUUAGCUAAUCCUGGUCGGACAUCAGGAGGUUAGUGCAAUGGCAUAAGCUAGCUUGACUGCGAGCGUGACGGCGCGAGCAGGUGCGAAAGCAGGUCAUAGUGAUCCGGUGGUUCUGAAUGGAAGGGCCAUCGCUCAACGGAUAAAAGGUACUCCGGGGAUAACAGGCUGAUACCGCCCAAGAGUUCAUAUCGACGGCGGUGUUUGGCACCUCGAUGUCGGCUCAUCACAUCCUGGGGCUGAAGUAGGUCCCAAGGGUAUGGCUGUUCGCCAUUUAAAGUGGUACGCGAGCUGGGUUUAGAACGUCGUGAGACAGUUCGGUCCCUAUCUGCCGUGGGCGCUGGAGAAUUGAGGGGGGCUGCUCCUAGUACGAGAGGACCGGAGUGGACGCAUCACUGGUGUUCGGGUUGUCAUGCCAAUGGCACUGCCCGGUAGCUAAAUGCGGAAGAGAUAAGUGCUGAAAGCAUCUAAGCACGAAACUUGCCCCGAGAUGAGUUCUCCCUGAGACUUUAAGUCUCCUGAAGGAACGUUGAAGACGACGACGUUGAUAGGCCGGGUGUGUAAGCGCAGCGAUGCGUUGAGCUAACCGGUACUAAUGAACCGUGAGGCUUAACCUUACAACGCCGAAG
rnacentral:rRNA from 1 species